rnacentral:rRNA from 1 species
UACGGGGGGGGGCAAGCGUUGUUCGGAAUUACUGGGCGUAAAGGGCUCGUAGGCGGCCAACUAAGUCGGAUGUGAAAUCCCCAGGCUUAACCUGGGAACUGCAUCCGAUACUGGAUGGCUUGAAUCCGGGAGAGGGAUGCAGAAUUCCAGGUGUAGCGGUGAAAUGCGUAGAUAUCAGAAGGAACAUCAGUGGCGAAGGCGCUUUCUGGACCAAUACUGACGAUCAGGUGCGAAAGCGUGGGGAGCAAAC